GUGAUGGUCCAUAUUGCUCUCUUGAAUAUUCAUUCAUCUUUCUUUUUCUUUCUCUCUCUUUCUCUCUCUCUUCCCGACACUUUGCCAAUUAAAACCUAAAUCUACAUACUGGCUUCCAAGCCCUGCCAUGAGCCACACAGGUCCAUGGAGGGGGAGUAGAAAGUGCUGGUGAUGCUUCUGGAGAUGAUGGUGUUCAGAGGUGGAAGGACGGCCACUUUUCUGGCAGAAACAGAUUUUCGGUCCUGAGACUUCAGGACUGAGGCCCAUGCAUUGUUCCUGACAGGAAACAUUAUCAUCAUCAUCGCCAGCAUCAUCAGCAGCAGCAGCAGCAAAUGGCUGUCACUUCAAAACUGGGGCCACCCCAUGCCAAGCAGUGGAAGCCCGCAGCGUGGAAUCGGAGCUUUUGGAGGGAGGCCCGUACUCCAUCUGGCGGAGGAAGCCAUUAUGAGGCCAGCAGCACAGAACUCAAUCUCUCUCUCUGGCGGGCUUUG